rnacentral:rRNA from 1 species
UGGGGAAUAUUGCACAAUGGGGGGAACCCUGAUGCAGCGACGCCGCGUGAGCGAAGAAGUAUUUCGGUAUGUAAAGCUCUAUCAGCAGGGAAGAAGAAUGACGGUACCUGAGUAAGAAGCACCGGCUAAAUACGUGCCAGCAGCCGCGGUAAUACGUAUGGUGCAAGCGUUAUCCGGAUUUACUGGGUGUAAAGGGAGCGCAGGCGGCGCGGCAAGUCUGAUGUGAAAGCCCGGGGCUCAACCCCGGGACUGCAUUGGAAACUACCGCGCUGGAGUGUCGGAGAGGCAAGUGGAAUUCCUAGUGUAGCGGUGAAAUGCGUAGAUAUUAGGAGGAACACCAGUGGCGAAGGCGGCUUGCUGGACGAUCACUGACGCUGAGGCUCGAAAGCGUGGGGAGCAAACAGG